CCCAGACUCGUACGGAAAAACAGCCCAGUGUAUUCCUCUGCCUCCACCCACAUGGCGCUCCAGGCGCAGCAGCAGGCCACCCCGUCGCCGACGCGCGACAGGGCGGGCAGCGGCGAGUGGCUGGCCGACACGGAGAAGCUCCCCGGCGCCGCCGCGUCCCCGGAGGACGUCGUCGUCGCCUCCACGCACCACGCCGCCGCCGCCGCCAGGUACGUGCCGCCGCGCGCCACGUCGCACACCGCCGAACCGAACCCUGGCCGCGGCGGCGGAGGCGGGUGGUACUCGUGGAACGGCGGCCGUCGCGCUCGCCACGAUCCGCCCGCGCCGCGGCGGCAGCAGCCCGCGAAGACGCCCCCGCCCGCCCCGCCUCUGCCUGCGGCUCCCCCUCCCCCUCCCGCUGCCUCUCCGGCUCCAGCUCCAAGGGCCCCGCCUCCUCACGCGCAGGUCAGGUCGGCCGACCGGGUCGUGCCCGCCAUUCUGUCGCGCAAGCGCCGGGCCGCGGUGAUGCAGCGCGCCGCGCUGCUGGCCAGGGCCGCCGCCGCGGGGCUCUGCCUCGCCGCGCUCGCCGUGCUCGCCUCCGACACUCGCAGGGGCUGGGCCCGCGACUCCUACAGCAACUACGCCCAGUUCCGGUACUCGGAGGCCGUCAACGUCGUCGGCUUCCUGUACUCGGUGUUCCAGUUCGUCGCGCUCGCCGAGCUCAUGAGGAGGAACAAGCAUUUGAUUCCCCAUCCCAAGCGUGAUCUCUUCGACUUCACCAUGGAUCAGGCGGCUAGGGGGUGAGCAGCAAGAAACAUAUUGCAAUUGCUGAGCAGCUGAGACAUUGGGUGCAUCUACUAUGGCUGGAGCCACUUCGGUUUAAGUUUUUGGGAUUAAUUUUUUUGGACCAAUUUGCAACCCUUCCCAUCCUAACUGCUGCUGGUCUGCGAGGAUGAGCUCACGAUCAUGGUACUUCCUCCAUUCCUCCAUUUUCUUGAGAUCUUAUUCCUGAAUCUUGACUGCUGCAGUAGCGGUGUAGCAAUUCCUGUUUGUUCUGCUUUUCUGCCAUUUACUGAUGUGUAUGUCUACUGCUGCUGGUGGGUGCUGGCUUGUGUCUUGGCUGCUGCACUUGUGUAGAUUUGGUUCUGCACUUGUAUACAUAGUAUAUGAUAUAUAUUUGUCCUGACAUAUAGGGGACUACUAGUGUUGUUUAGUCGCCCUGGUCGAUGACUAAUCACAAUUGGUCACCUGGUCUGUCUCUUAGGGAAUAGAAUCGACUAGAUAACCAAACUGUGCAUUGGAGUAGCUCGUUUCUCCCCCGUCUAUCCCCAACAGUGGCGGACCCAGGAACUGAUGACAGCCUAGGCGAGAAUACGGUGUGAUCCCCACGCCUGUGCUCGUGCCACGUGCUGCUUGCUUCCGUGCACUGUGCUCGCGCCUUGCCCUCCAUUGCAGCUGGCGAGCCAGCCCAGGCCACCGCCUGCGGUGCCUGGGUGGUGGUAGCAUACCUUCUGAUAUCGUCAUCGUCAUCAGCAACUGCUCGAGCAAGUGAUUUGAUUGAGAACUGGGGGAGCGAUUCCUUCCCGAGCAUGGCGAACGGCUCCAUUGCCAUAUCUUUCGUGGCAUUUGUUGUUUUCGCCAUUUGCUCCCUCAUCUCCGCAUACAAUCUGUUCCGCCGAGACAUGUAGCUGAUCCUGACAACUUCAUUUCUGAACAAAGUUUUUGGUGCAGGUUUCAUGUGUGUAUAAAUGUGAUGGGAACUCUGAACUUCUAGCGAUGAUGUAUCUACAUGUCAAAUGGCAACUCACUUGUGUGGUAAAUGAAAUUCAGAAGUUCUCGCAA